UUAAGCGACUAAGCGUACACGGUGGAUGCCCUGGCAGUCAGAGGCGAUGAAGGACGUGCUAAUCUGCGAUAAGCGUCGGUAAGGUGAUAUGAACCGUUAUAACCGGCGAUUUCCGAAUGGGGAAACCCAGUGUGUUUCGACACACUAUCAUUAACUGAAUCCAUAGGUUAAUGAGGCGAACCGGGGGAACUGAAACAUCUAAGUACCCCGAGGAAAAGAAAUCAACCGAGAUUCCCCCAGUAGCGGCGAGCGAACGGGGAGCAGCCCAGAGCCUGAAUCAGUGUGUGUGUUAGUGGAAGCGUCUGGAAAGGCGCGCGAUACAGGGUGACAGCCCCGUACACAAAAAUGCACAUGCUGUGAGCUCGAUGAGUAGGGCGGGACACGUGGUAUCCUGUCUGAAUAUGGGGGGACCAUCCUCCAAGGCUAAAUACUCCUGACUGACCGAUAGUGAACCAGUACCGUGAGGGAAAGGCGAAAAGAACCCCGGCGAGGGGAGUGAAAAAGAACCUGAAACCGUGUACGUACAAGCAGUGGGAGCACAGAGCAAUCUGUGUGACUGCGUACCUUUUGUAUAAUGGGUCAGCGACUUAUAUUCUGUAGCAAGGUUAACCGAAUAGGGGAGCCGAAGGGAAACCGAGUCUUAACUGGGCGUUAAGUUGCAGGGUAUAGACCCGAAACCCGGUGAUCUAGCCAUGGGCAGGUUGAAGGUUGGGUAACACUAACUGGAGGACCGAACCGACUAAUGUUGAAAAAUUAGCGGAUGACUUGUGGCUGGGGGUGAAAGGCCAAUCAAACCGGGAGAUAGCUGGUUCUCCCCGAAAGCUAUUUAGGUAGCGCCUCGUGAAUUCAUCUCCGGGGUAGAGCACUGUUUCGGCAAGGGGGUCAUCCCGACUUACCAACCCGAUGCAAACUGCGAAUACCGGAGAAUGUUAUCACGGGAGACACACGGCGGGUGCUAACGUCCGUCGUGAAGAGGGAAACAACCCAGACCGCCAGCUAAGGUCCCAAAGUCAUGGUUAAGUGGGAAACGAUGUGGGAAGGCCCAGACAGCCAGGAUGUUGGCUUAGAAGCAGCCAUCAUUUAAAGAAAGCGUAAUAGCUCACUGGUCGAGUCGGCCUGCGCGGAAGAUGUAACGGGGCUAAACCAUGCACCGAAGCUGCGGCAGCGACGCUUAUGCGUUGUUGGGUAGGGGAGCGUUCUGUAAGCCUGCGAAGGUGUGCUGUGAGGCAUGCUGGAGGUAUCAGAAGUGCGAAUGCUGACAUAAGUAACGAUAAAGCGGGUGAAAAGCCCGCUCGCCGGAAGACCAAGGGUUCCUGUCCAACGUUAAUCGGGGCAGGGUGAGUCGACCCCUAAGGCGAGGCCGAAAGGCGUAGUCGAUGGGAAACAGGUUAAUAUUCCUGUACUUGGUGUUACUGCGAAGGGGGGACGGAGAAGGCUAUGUUGGCCGGGCGACGGUUGUCCCGGUUUAAGCGUGUAGGCUGGUUUUCCAGGCAAAUCCGGAAAACUAAGGCUGAGGCGUGAUGACGAGGCACUACGGUGCUGAAGCAACAAAUGCCCUGCUUCCAGGAAAAGCCUCUAAGCAUCAGGUAACAUCAAAUCGUACCCCAAACCGACACAGGUGGUCAGGUAGAGAAUACCAAGGCGCUUGAGAGAACUCGGGUGAAGGAACUAGGCAAAAUGGUGCCGUAACUUCGGGAGAAGGCACGCUGAUAUGUAGGUGAAGCGACUUGCUCGUGGAGCUGAAAUCAGUCGAAGAUACCAGCUGGCUGCAACUGUUUAUUAAAAACACAGCACUGUGCAAACACGAAAGUGGACGUAUACGGUGUGACGCCUGCCCGGUGCCGGAAGGUUAAUUGAUGGGGUCAGCGCAAGCGAAGCUCUUGAUCGAAGCCCCGGUAAACGGCGGCCGUAACUAUAACGGUCCUAAGGUAGCGAAAUUCCUUGUCGGGUAAGUUCCGACCUGCACGAAUGGCGUAAUGAUGGCCAGGCUGUCUCCACCCGAGACUCAGUGAAAUUGAACUCGCUGUGAAGAUGCAGUGUACCCGCGGCAAGACGGAAAGACCCCGUGAACCUUUACUAUAGCUUGACACUGAACAUUGAGCCUUGAUGUGUAGGAUAGGUGGGAGGCUUUGAAGUGUGGACGCCAGUCUGCAUGGAGCCGGCCUUGAAAUACCACCCUUUAAUGUUUGAUGUUCUAACGUUGGCCCCUGAUCGGGGUUGCGGACAGUGUCUGGUGGGUAGUUUGACUGGGGCGGUCUCCUCCUAAAGAGUAACGGAGGAGCACGAAGGUUGGCUAAUCCUGGUCGGACAUCAGGAGGUUAGUGCAAUGGCAUAAGCCAGCUUGACUGCGAGCGUGACGGCGCGAGCAGGUGCGAAAGCAGGUCAUAGUGAUCCGGUGGUUCUGAAUGGAAGGGCCAUCGCUCAACGGAUAAAAGGUACUCCGGGGAUAACAGGCUGAUACCGCCCAAGAGUUCAUAUCGACGGCGGUGUUUGGCACCUCGAUGUCGGCUCAUCACAUCCUGGGGCUGAAGUAGGUCCCAAGGGUAUGGCUGUUCGCCAUUUAAAGUGGUACGCGAGCUGGGUUUAGAACGUCGUGAGACAGUUCGGUCCCUAUCUGCCGUGGGCGCUGGAGAACUGAGGGGGGCUGCUCCUAGUACGAGAGGACCGGAGUGGACGCAUCACUGGUGUUCGGGUUGUCAUGCCAAUGGCACUGCCCGGUAGCUAAAUGCGGAAGAGAUAAGUGCUGAAAGCAUCUAAGCACGAAACUUGCCCCGAGAUGAGUUCUCCCUGACUCCUUGAGAGUCCUGAAGGAACGUUGAAGACGACGACGUUGAUAGGCCGGGUGUGUAAGCGCAGCGAUGCGUUGAGCUAACCGGUACUAAUGAACCGUGAGGCUUAACCU
rnacentral:rRNA from 1 species